GAUGAACGCUAGCGAUAGGCUUAACACAUGCAAGUCGAGGGGCAGCAUGGUCUUAGCUUGCUAAGACUGAUGGCGACCGGCGCACGGGUGCGUAACGCGUAUGCAACUUGCCUCACAGAGGGGGAUAACCCGUCCAAAGACGGACUAAUACCGCGUACACUCUAUUUUGGGCAUCCAAGGUAGAGGAAAUGAAAUUCGCUGUGAGAUAGGCAUGCGUCUCAUUAGCUAGUUGGUGAGGUAACGGCUCACCAAGGCGACGAUGGGUAGGGGAACUGAGAGGUCGAACCCCCACGCUGGUACUGAGACACGGACCAGGCUGCGACGGCAGGCAGCAGUGAGGAAUAUUGGUCAAUGGGCGAGAGCCUGAGCCAGCCAAGUCGCGUGAAGGAUGACUGUCGUAAGGAUAGUAAGCGUCUCUUGCAGGGGGAGAAAGAGGGGGACGAGGGCGCCAGGGAAUGGACCCUACGAAGAAGGCUCGGCUAACUCCGUG
rnacentral:rRNA from 1 species